UAACCAUGUAAUAAACAUUUUGAAUGUAUGUUUAAUUUCCAUCAUAUAUGUCAUUUAUGGCAUAACCACCCAAGUGGUUCAGCUUGCAGCAAGAGACAGCCUCAUUCUUCAGCAGUCUCUGUCCUUAUUUUGCACCUCUAGGAUACCGUUGAAAUGAAGAGAACAAACACCCACAUACAUUUCUAUUCUUUCGUAGUCUGUACAGUGCGUCUUCUGUGGAAGCAGUGCUGCUGGGAUCACCGCAACCAGCUCCCCUCCUCGGCUGUGGCCUGUGAUGACUUAGAGCACUACCUGAGAUGCACAUUAUGGUUAGAACAAGCAGAUCUGGCUUAUACUGUUUCUCACCCCUGUGAUUUCAUCGUUAGUCUCACCAAAGUCUAUCUUCCUCUCAAAGUCACAACCUCUUGAAUAUCAGCAAUAUUAAUUGGGGAAGAAAAUCAGAAGAAUUUAAAGCAGAAGAAGCUUUUAAUUAUCAUACAGGAGAAGGAGACAGAAGCAAAAAAAACAACACAUCCUAAUUUUUCUGUGAUAUCUGAAGCCCUGAGUUUGACUAGCUUCUCAUCAUUUAUAAAAUUGUAAGAGACAGAUGAAUUUUAAAAUUCUACAUGCAGUAACAAUCUGCUACAAGCUGGAGCACCCCUACUGAAAAUACUGCUCACAGAAACUUUAAUAUUAUGUAAAAGAGAAAGAUGGUCUUUCAGAUACCAGCUUAGACUUGCAGUCAAUAUGCCUGUUGUACCUAAGAGAAACCUUUUAUUUUCAAACUUGAAAACUUUUACCUUGUGCUCUCUAAGACAAAAUGAAUAUGCCACUUUGCUACCCUUCAAUAAAUUGUCAAUGUUUCACAGCACAGGGUUCUGACUUUCACUUAGGAAGAUGGAAUUUAUAAUCUCUCAGGGAUGGAAAAAAAGUUUGGACACAAUUCAAGUGUAAUCAAACCACUAAAAGCAAAAACCUCAUGCAAAACAGAAUGAGAGAAGUUGCGUGGCAAUAUAUCUUCCUGGCUGUGCUCCAUGAAGGGCUGCUGAGGCUCACCUGUAAAGGAUACUGUUGUUGGCAUUAAUUCUCUCCUCCUCGCCGACUGAUGUGGUGUGCAAAAAUGAGGCAGACCUGAGACAAGCUGAGGGUGACCUGCAGUUUUGAUAUCUCUCCUUCCUCUAGACCCUAAAGGAACCUCUCCUUGGCUGUUGGAAUCAGUGGUUAGCAAGAGCCACAGAUCAACUCACCCCAGUCAUGAUAUCAGUGAUAUAAUAAUAUAGGAAAAAGAUGAGAGAUACUUUUACUAAAAGCCACUCUUGAUCCUGUAAUAUUGUCAACUCCCUACCUCUAGCCUGUUUUGUAAACACACACAUUUUACUACAGCAGGAAUGAAGGAAGUUGGGUAUACCCAAUUUUGUAAGAUUUCUCCUUGCAUCUCAGGCAUCCAGGAUUUAUGUUGCUCUAUGGCAAAGUCUGAGAGAAGACGUAGCCCAGCAAGAUGAAAAGCAAAGGAGCUGUAAACUGAACAUCAAAUGAGUUUGAUCCCUGCUUUCACUGGCUCCGAAGUACAUGUGCCCAGAUGUGGCCUCCUGCUUCACUAGAUAAAUAAGUAUUGAGUUGAGCAAUGUGAUUUAAGAAGAAAAUUAUAUGACACAGUAUGUUUUAUUUCACAGCAUGGUAAAAAAUGAUUAAAGAAAUGUGAAGAAGAGUAAAAGACUUGCUCUUUUAGCUUUACUUUCAAAUACAGUAAUAUAACAGAACCACUCUGAUAUGCCGCUGCAUGUACCACUUCUAUGCCUAUUAUCCAUCUUCUUAGAAAAAAUGAAAUCUAGACCUACACAUUUUACCUUAGAGCAGAAACACAGGUUUCGUAGAGUGAAAGCUUAUGAAUGGUAAAACAGGAAUUUAGCACAGUGAAAACACAGUCCAAACUUGGGGGGUCUAUUCUCUUCUUAUUGCUUUUAUAUACUUCCAGUAUUCAAGAAAAUUACGUAGAAGCAUUAAAAGUAGGAUAGACUCCCGUGAAAUGACCUCACAAAUGAAAUUAAGAGAGGGAGAGAGCAGUGAAUAACUGAAUCCCUUGAGCUAGAAGAAUGUCAUGCUGGAGUGCUGUGGGAGCAUAUAAAAUCUGUGCUACUGUGCACCCACUUUUCAGAGAACCUGUGUAACUUAUGAACCUGACAGCAAUGCCAUACCUACCUACAGGCUCUUCCUAUCCUCCCUCCCACCCUGUCAGCAUGCUUCCACUAAGAACUGCCAAGGAGACUGACACAAUGAAAAUACAGUGGUUUGGCUGCCUUUCAACCUUCUAUAUACCCUGGAGACAGAAGGAUUACUUAUUAUUAGCAAUUAUGAAAUUUAAUCCACUAUACUACAUUGCAUAUGAUCAAGCUUUAUUAUACUCUAGUGAGUCUUACCAUAGUAUAAACAUCAGAUUAUAAACCUAUUUUUUAAAUGCAUUGAUUUUAAUUUUAUAUAGUCAACUUUCUCUGCUGCAAUGUGCUCACUUCAUUCUGUAAUGCUGAUAGAGCAUGGCCCUUGAGUCACUUGAACAGCACUGGCACAUGUUUCUACAGGUACACAAGGAGAAAAAAAAAAAGAUUUCUCUUCCAUAUUUUCUUCUUAACAAAGGAAAAGCUGGAACGUGUGGAUUAACUGAUAAUUAUGACUAUGGAUGAAACCUGAAAUACUAACAGGAGUGAAACCACAUCUCCAAAAUCCUAAUUCCAUUCACAAAAUCAUCCUGGCCUUCCAUGCUCUAUCCCCACAAUCAGAAUGGAAGAAAUAAGUUAGAGCCAUAAGAAAUGUGCACCCUGAGUGCAGUUUGGCCAGCCACUAUUAGAUUUGGUUCACAGUUUUCACUCUGUCACUUUAAAAAACAGGUGUUUUGCACUGUUUUCUUAUAGUGGUCUUUGUUCUCAUAAACUAUGAUACUUAAGAAAAUCAUAACACUCUUUCUCAUGGACCACUACUGUAAGAGAGACACAAUCAUUACUACCUAAGUGACAUUACACUUGCUAACUACAAGGGAAAAAAAACACCACCUUUAUAAGAAUAUGUACUCUUUGCUCAGUCAAGGAUUAUCAAGACCUAAUCCUUGUUAAAUAGUAAAAUAUUUGAUUAGAAAGAGAAAAAAGAGCAAAAAUAAUUUUCAAGGUAAUCAUUUGUACAUAUUGCUCCACUCUGUCUCUUUCCAUUAUGUGUGGAAGCUGUAUUUAUCUGACUGCUUUCCCCACCUACUAAACAGCAAUUCGUACACUGAGGAGGCCUUUUCCACAAACUGUAACACUCUGUUCUGCAGCAUAGGCGUUUCCCCUAGGGAGAAACCGCUAGCGCCAGACACUCGUGACCCUCAUCAGUCACAUCAUGCAACUGGAAGGCACUUAGUGCUGCGAGGAGCACGCUAUGAGAAGCUACAUGUAUAUGCAACUGUGCUAGUGCUUUUACUUGAGCCACUCAUCGUACAGUGACUUACUUUGAAGAGGCACCUGGUGACCGACAUGUUCCACCAGGAACAUGAGUAAUGGUGCAGUGUGGAUAGAUUUGCACUGAAUAUCUACACUAUUCUUCCCUUGCCCCACACCACAACUCUGUACCUUCCUCCUCCAUACUAUCUCCAGCUUUCCUAAUCCUUACAGUAAUUUGAGCAUCCCACCAUGGCUUUACCACUCCUUAUCUCCAGUUUUUCUCAACCCCAACACCGUGAGAAGGAUUUUAAAAGGGUUCUCUCUACCCCACAUGGGAGUUGGAGGAACUUAAUACCUUUGAAAUCAACCAUUCUUCCAGUUAAAUGGCCUACUGGUUCAGAAGUUCAAAAGGCUGACAGCACAAAUACAAAAAAAUACUUCCUCAAGUUAAAAAGCAUUCCCCUAAAUGAAAAUUUAGAUGAGUAAAUCAGUGAUGAAAAAUUACAAAAUACAUGGGUUUUAAUAAUCAUUAUAGCCCAGAGCAAGAACCUCAAGUCUUCUUUCUUACAUAACUGCAUACAGGAUAACCACAACCAUUUAAUCAAAUUUCACCUAAAAAAAUAAGAAUAAAAGGGAUAUGAUACUCUUAAUACUAUUUUACUUUCUAAAACCAGAAAAGAUAAAGCACCCCAAAUUUAGACUCAGUUCAGUACUUCAGUAAUGAUAAACAUAAAGCAGUGAAACAAACCUAGGCUGUGCUUCGUGUCUACAGAAUGACAUGACAUUCAUGUGGAAUGAAUGUCAUUCUAUGCUCAUGACAGAGCUGUGAUUAAUUAAGCAACGAUCCUAAGUGAUUUCUCUUACCUGAGUAUGCACAACCCCAAUUCCCACACACUACUCAUUUGACUGAGACUGGAAGGAGAGAUCUUCUGCUUAGGACAAGCAAGCAUCAGAUUGGUCAAAGUUUAAAAUGUACCAAUAUAAUCAUAUUAAAGCAUUGCAAAAUUAGAAAUAAUUUUUAUCAAAAUAGUCAUACAGAAAAUCUACUAUUCAGGGAAGAACCAAGUAGUGAACCUGACGGUUCAAAUAACAAAAACAUCAGGAAGGCAAAUGUCCUCUGUCAGGGAAGCUCAUUAUUUUAAUUUAAUUUUAAUGGGGAAUUUUAAGUAACGGUGAAAUGAAUUACACAAAGCUUACUAAAUCUUAGGAGUUAAGGGAGUCCUAUAGUCCAGGUUAGGAUGCCUUUAUGUGAUGAUAAUGAUCCAAUAACUUUAGAUGUUCCCACUGCUGAGAUAAGGCAUCCAGGACAGCUGCACACUGAGCACCCACCAGCUGCAACUGGCAUGUGAGGUGAAACUUCUGGAAGUGAGGAUGAGGGUAAACAGACAGGUAGCAACCAACUCUGGAUGCACAAGCUUCCUUCAUAUACCAAUUUCACUUCUCAGUACAUGAAACCUUAAAACUUCAAAAAAUUUAAAAAAUCCUAUACAUUGAAGACAAUAGGAACCAGAUACCAUUGUAUAUUCUGAAAACUUUAUCCUGCAAUGGUUCCAAAUAUGUUCCUCUUUUGAUGAUUCACAGAAGAGUGCCGUUCUCAUGUGUCCUUUUGACUCAUGCUGAAGCCUAAUUAUUUAUAUAUAUAUAUUUUUAUUGCUGGAACCAUUUUGUCUCAUCUGCUCUUUGUUUUCCUUUUAUUUCUUUUAAUCUUCUAAAUUUAUAGAUAUAGCUUUCUAUCUUUUAUUUUCUUUUAACUCUCUUGUGCUUUCACUCUUCUUUCUUUUCUGUGACUUUUCAGGAAUCCAAACACUGUGAAAGUGUCAUUUUGCCUCCUUUUAUUUAAUCUGCCCAUUUCUUCCACUGAAAUGAAAGCCAAGGGAGCAGGAAUACUUUAGUUAAGAUACUGCCCAAGCCUGCAGCUAUUUACUUAUGAACUGAUUAUAUGAAUGACUGUGUUAGAAGUCAUUAGAGGUCUAAGGGAAAAUGUCAGGUAGGUUAUAAUAUAAAAACUGGAAAUAACAGCUGGUUUUCAAGCAGCAGUGUAAUACACUAUCCACAGCUGCAAAUCCCUGUUAGCACAGGUGUUGAGGCACCACUGAGAUCAACUUUGCCAUCUGCACUGCCCUGUUUUUGUCUGCCUAUCAACCAUGGCUUGUAGGCUAACCUUUCUCUCCAUCACACAUUGAUAAACACCACUUAAAUUCUGUUUAAAUAAAGAUGGAUCUUGCUUUGGAAAACAAAACAAAACAAACAAACAAAACAAACAAACAACAACAAAAAACAAACAAACAAACAAACAAACAAAACACAACAAAAGCACAACGAACCAUCACCACCAAACCUGAAUGAUCGUGAAUACACAUAAUAAUAGACUUUUGAAAAGUAAAUCUGCCAGGAUAAGAAAAUCAGCGUGAGAAAUAAUUCCUUAGAGGAGGUGAACUGUAGCCUUUUGGAAUUCUGUGCGAAUGUCUGAGAACCAAGUUCAUAGCCCAACAGGUGAGCUUAUGGGUUAAAAACGAUCAAUGUGGGGAAAAGGUCAAUGUUUGCUCUAAAAAUGGCAGAACUAUACAUGUGAUGUAUUAUUAAAUUUCAAGUCUUUGUGAGGAGGAAAGUUGGCGCAAAAAUUCAGGCAAGAUAGAUUUGAAUAAAUCUAAAACUAUAACUACACUUAGUUAUUUUAUAUGCAGUAACUUGGCUAAUGCCAAAGAAAACUUUCUUCUCUUAAGUCACUGGCUCCCAUCAUCUGGAAAGAACAACUGUUCCUCUUUAACGAAUGGCAGAAAUCCUGUUCCCUGUAUUCAAGCAUAGUCUUCCAGGAUCCACGAACUGCAGCAAGACCUGGCUAAUACACUUUAUGUAAGAGACAGAAGGUUUGAAGAACAGGGUGAAGGUGUUAGUCCAGCCAGGUAACACCUUCAGGUAACCUGACUGAAGAGAUGCAUCAAGAUGCUGAAGAACCCACCUGGACUGUAUAUGCUUCCCUCUCCCAAACACCAGCAAAACUGGAAAAAAAUGAACUGCAGUGACACCUUUGGCCACUGGAUGACAAAGCAUCCAGCACCACCUAACCAGUCACUGUGCCAGAAGUGGAAGCAGGUGGUAUUAGCAUUUGCCCUGAAGGCAAAUCAGACCAUUCUGAAUUUCCAGACUUGUGUGAGGAAGGUAGAGUGGCCUACAGACCACCUGCCGGUCUUCUUGGAGGCAGAAGUGAGAUGGCAGCCUGCCACUGGGACCGAGCCAACUUCUGCCCUGGUGACUGACAGGUUUGGUCUUGCUCCCUGGAGGAAAACGUAUUGCUGCUGGAAAAGCAAGCCUGUCUGUGAAAGGCCAAAAAAAAAGUAUGAAUGGACAAUUUAGGGAAAUAACUUUUCCUUAUAAAUCCCCCCUUUUCAUUAACACUUUUUUUUUUUUUUUUUUUUUUUUUUUGUUAAAAUAACUCAUUUUAAGUCUACUAAAUAAAUAAUGUCAAUUCUGAUGCUUCGCUAAAUAACUGGACAUUCUCAGUAAUUAAGCAGCUUUUCUACACAGAGCAGAAGGAAAUAUUCUAAUGUAUUGACUAUAUUUUUCCAUGGCACAGAGCACAUAAAAAUAGGCAAUUUCAAUAAUCAUUAUUACUGCUACAGUAUAUAUUAAUAUAUUUUGUAUAAAUCAUUGCCUCUACUAUCAAGUCUGCUACUGCUCCUGCAAAUAAAGCGAUACCUUGUUACCUAGCAACUGAGCAAGUCGCUGCUACACUGCCAAAAAAAAAAAAAAAGGGAAAAAAAUGAAAUAUAUGUAUUUAUAUAUCCCCUUGGUUUCACGUUGAGAGAACAUCCAUAAAGAACAAAGAAUAAUCCACUCAAAGGCCCUGAAAUUCAAUAUUUAAAUAAAAUAUUUGAUCCUCUGCAUUCCCUAAGUAUCAUCAGAAGCUGGGUCUAGAUUAAACAUGCAUUACAUAUCACUGACAAUACAAUGUUCUUGCUAUGCAUUUCUUGGAAUAUUUUAUUAAUGCAUAUAUAUGUACACAGACAUUACAUAUAUAAGUCAUGGCAUACACUUAAUGCUACAUUUGAUCUGUAUUAGAAUAGGAAUAGGCUAUCACAGGGCUUUCUUUAAAGUCUGCUUGCUUAUGCUAAAUCAGUUUCUUUCCUGUUUAACAUAGCAAUGCACAGUAUUACCUUUGACUGAUGCAAUGUCUCCUUUUAGGAUUCUGUCAUUUGUACAAAUUUGUCCUUGUGUUUCAUACAAAAAUAAAAGUACGCAACCAGUACAUACUACAAA